rnacentral:lncRNA from 1 species
CUCAUGCGAUGAACGUGGUGAUUGGACCGAAGAUUGAGAGGAAACUGAUAACCGGAUCCUACGUGGUGGCAGAUGUGAUGUGUGGUAAUUGUGGUGAGAAGUUGGGUUGGAAGUAUGUGGAGACCUUCCAUCUUAAACAGAGGUAUAAAGAAGGCAUGUUUGUGAUCGAGAGGCUCAAGUUGACCAAGAAACUUUAGUCAAGGAAAGUGAUGAUCAUGUGUAAUAUCUUUUUCUUUGUCAAGAUCAUGUGUAUAUCUACGCCCUUGUUGUAUCAUGAAUGUGAAUAUAGUGGUUGUUAAUAUGCCUUUUCCAAAACUCUUGAAGAGGGAAGAUCCGUGUAGAGUGAGAACAGACCCCUCUUAGUCUUACUUAUUGGUCCAAUCCAACCCUGAAAACUUAAAAGUUUGCCCUCAACAGUAAUGGUUAUAAAAAUUAACAAAUUUCUUUUUAACAAAACGGAUAAAAUCAAUAGUAACGCGUGCUGCUGACAUUUACCUAUGAUCUCACUGAAUUUUUUUUAAAGAUUAUAUAAUGACUAGAUAGAAGGUAUAAUAUAGGUCAAGUUAUCAACUUUGUAAGAGUUAUAAUUUUUCAGUUAAGAAAAAGAGAGAUAAUUUUUUGGUUCACAAGUGAUGCAUGUUUUAAAAUUACCCUGUAUUAAUGUUUAUGAAAAUAGUAUAAAAACAAAAAGUAAUUCAAAAUUAAAAAAAAAAACCUAUUAUAUGUUUCACAUUUCCACUUCGCAUCACAGCUUGCUCCUUUUUUGCAUUGCUCCCAGUCAUUAUAAAAGCAAAAACCCAGAAAAAGAAAGUCGUAAGAUAGUCGCUUCACGGCGUGAUCUGAUCAAAGAGACUCAUAAAGAUCAAGACUUUCAUCCAACUCCAACCUAAAAUCUCUCACCAUUAUCUUUCUUCCUCGUUCGCUCCGUUAAACCCUAGUAAGAUCCCUCAAGAUUGAACCCUUUUCGUCUGAUUUUUUUCUCCAUUUAGUUGUCAAACCUGAAUCGUAGUUUUCUCUCAGGGAAUAUCUUUUACCCUACCAAAUGUAUUAUUGUGUAUUUUUAUAUUCCUUGUGUCUAGUAAUAGUACGAUUUGUUUAUUGAAUAUUUUGAGGUACUGUCGUGUAGAAAUUGGAAUCUCUCGUCCCGCACGCCAACACCUGCCCACUCUUCUUAUCCUUUUAUUUUCUUCAGACAUUAAAGCUUGGAGCUUGACGAACUAGUGAUUCUCGAAAGGUUUCUUUUGAUCUUCUCUUCUCGUUUAGAAUUUUGGUUUCCAUGUGGGAUCUUGAUAUCUUUAUGGGUUUUGUGUUUUUUCUUUCGAUUUAUGGUGAAAAGGUGAGAACUUGAUUGAUUUGUUUGGAAAAGUUGAUCACGCCCUGAAGGUGUUUGAUAGAAUGGCUCAGUCAGUUGGUCCAAGGCUGUAUAGUUGCUGCAACUGCAGGAACCAUGUGGGACUUCACGAUGAUAUUAUCUCUAAGGCUUUUCAGGUGAGAAUCAAACUUCAUCAUCCCUUUUGUUUUGCCUGUGUCCCUUAUGGUAUAUGUAGAGAGAAUUAAGUGGAGAAUCACACUAAGACUAGUUGGAGCUCUGAUAAUCUAUUUGUUUUUCAGAUUUUAGGAAAAGCCUUGACUUUAUUGUCGUUUUUAUCGAAUUUGGAAUGAUCAAUGCUACUAAUCAAGGGUGCAUUUUCCCACCAAGCUACCUGUUUCUUGGUUUUGUGAAAGAGAAACUAAACAUAAGACUCAAAGAAGUAGCCUUUGACUCAUUGUUAUAAAUAACAACAAGACUAGUCAGUCUUUGAAUAUGCUAAGAUCAUUUCAAAAGUUAUUUGUUAGACAGACGCUACUGGCCAUUACAUAUUACUCGGUUUUGAAUAAAAUUUUCAGUUUGAGUUCCUAACCUAUGCUUCUCAAUUAUUAGGGAAGAACCGGGAGAGCCUUCCUCUUCUCCCACGCAAUGAACAUCGUGGUUGGGCCUAAAGAAGACCGGAAUCUUCUAACGGGUCUCCACACCGUGGCUGACAUAUCUUGUGCUGACUGCAAUGAACCCUUGGGCUGGAAGUACGAGCGAGCCUACGAGAGCUCACAAAAGUACAAGGAGGGCAAGUUCAUAUUCGAAAAGGCUAAGAUUGUCAAGGAGGAGGAUUGGUAGUGAAAGCAACAUGUUGAAUUCAUUAUUGGAUUGACUCAAAAACUGUACAUAGAUAAAACCUUGGCUUUGUCGAUUCCAAUCUUUAUGGAUUUCACAAGUCUAUCAUCAUCCAUUAUUCGGUUCGUUAUCUCUCGCCUGCAUGCUGUUAAAUAUGCCAGUUUCUUGUGUUUAAGUGGAUGUUUAUAUAAUAUAUAUACAUUAAUUAUGGAUAUGUUCUUCGUUCAAGGCUUCUCUGUAAAUGAAGUUAAGUCAGACCUUUAUUUGUGAAUAAUAAUAAUAUACUUGAAGAUAAUCAAUCCAUAGGAAGAAAGAACUGCGUGCCGUUUUCUCGGUCAUGCACCUAACAUCGACGUAGACAACCUGCUGUUUUAUGUCUACCACAGCCAACUGUUCGCCGUUUUUUUGACGAAUUGCCAACGAAAGUUGAGCAAUGUGACUACAGAGAGAGAGAGGGAAAGACGUGGUGAUUGGACCGAAGAUUGAGAGGAAACUGAUAACCGGAUCCUACGUGGUGGCAGAUGUGAUGUGUGGUAAUUGUGGUGAGAAGUUGGGUUGGAAGUAUGUGGAGACCUUCCAUCUUAAACAGAGGUAUAAAGAAGGCAUGUUUGUGAUCGAGAGGCUCAAGUUGACCAAGAAACUUUAGUCAAGGAAAGUGAUGAUCAUGUGUAAUAUUUUUUUCUUUGUCAUGAUCA